rnacentral:rRNA from 1 species
CCUACGGGUGGCAGCAGUGAGGAAUCUUCCACAAUGGGCGAAAGCCUGAUGGAGCAACGCCGCGUGAAGGAUGAAGGCCUUCGGGUUGUAAACUUCUUUUAUGAGUGAAGAAUAUGACGGUAACUCAUGAAUAAGCACCGGCUAACUACGUGCCAGCAGCCGCGGUCAUACGUAGGGUGCGAGCAUUAUCCGGAGUGACUGGGCGUAAAGAGUUGCGUAGGCGGUUUAAUAAGUGAAUAGUGAAACCUGGUGGCUCAACCAUACAGACUAUUAUUCAAACUGUUAAACUCGAGAAUGGUAGAGGUAACUGGAAUUUCUUGUGUAGGAGUGAAAUCCGUAGAUAUAAGAAGGAACACCAAUGGCGUAGGCAGGUUACUGGGCCAUUUCUGACGCUAAGGCACGAAAGCGUGGGGAGCGAACCGGAUUAGAUACCCGGGUAGUC